rnacentral:rRNA from 1 species
GACGAAGGUGGCGAGCGUUGUUCGGAAUCACUGGGCAUAAAGCGCACGUAGGCGGCGGCGUAAGUUGGAUGUGAAAUCCCCCGGCCCAACCGGGGAACUGCGUCCAGUACUGCGUUGCUUGAGGAUCCAAGGGGUGCAUGGAAUUCCCGGUGGAGCGGUGAAAUGCGUUGAUAUCGGGAGGAACUCCGGCGGCGAAAGCGGUGCA